rnacentral:piRNA from 1 species
UCUAGCCCUAGUUGAGGCCGGCGCUGU